rnacentral:rRNA from 1 species
UACGUAGGGUCCGAGCGUUGUCCGGAAUUACUGGGCGUAAAGAGCUCGUAGGUGGUUUGUCGCGUUGUCCGUGAAAACUCACAGCUUAACUGUGGGCGUGCGGGCGAUACGGGCAGACUGGAGUACUGCAGGGGAGACUGGAAUUCCUGGUGUAGCGGUGGAAUGCGCAGAUAUCAGGAGGAACGCCGGUGGCGAAGGCGGGUCUCUGGGCAGUAACUGACGCUGAGGAGCGAAAGCGUGGGGAGCGAACAGG